rnacentral:rRNA from 1 species
UGGUUGAUCCUGCCAGUAGUCAUAUGCUUGUCUCAAAGAUUAAGCCAUGCAUGUCUAAGUACAAGCCUCAUUAAGGUGAAACCGCGAAUGGCUCAUUAAAUCACACCUAAUAUACUGGAUAGUAUCUGUCACUUGGACAACUGCGGUAAUUCUGGAGCUAAUACAUGCGCACAAGCCCCGAACUUGCGUGAGGGGCGCUUUUAUUAGAUCAAAACCAAACGGCUACGGUCGUCAACUUGGUGAUUCUGAAUAACUUUGGGCUGAUCGCACGGCUUCACGCCGGCGACGUAUCUUUCUAAGGUGUGCCCUAUCAACUGUCGACUGUGGCAUAGACGCCCACAGUGGUUUUGACGGGUAACGGGGAAUCAGGGUUCGAUUCCGGAGAGGGAGCCUGAGAAACGGCUACCACUUCUAAGGAAGGCAGCAGGCACGCAAAUUACCCACUGGUCGAAGACCGAGGUAGUGACGAAAAAUAACGAUACCGGUCUCAUCCGAGGCCCGGUAAUCGGAAUGAGUACACUUUAAAUCCUUUAACGAGGAACAAUUGGAGGGCAAGUCUAGUGCCAGCAGCCGCGGUAAUUCUAGCUCCAAUAGCGUAUAUUAAAGUUGUUGCGGUUAAAAAGCUCGUAGUUGGAUCUCGGCGGGAAGGAGGCGGUUCGAUAUUUGUCGCUACUGCCUCAUUUUCCCGUGUUGGUGACGGAGGUUCCAGGGUGCUCUUAAUCGAGUGUCCUGGGAUGCCGUCAGGUUUACUUUGAAAAAAUUAGAGUGCUCAAAGCAGGCUUUACACGCUUGAAUAUUCGUGCAUGGAAUAAUGGAAUAGGAUGUCGUUUCUAUUUUGUUGGUUUUCGGAAAUCGACAUAAUGAUUAAUAGGGACAGUUGGGGGCAUUAGUAUUCAGACGACAGAGGUGAAAUUCUUGGACCGUCUGAAGACUAACUACUGCGAAAGCAUUUGCCAAGAAUGUUUUCAUUAAUCAAGAACGAAAGUUAGAGGUUCGAAGGCGAUCAGAUACCGCCCUAGUUCUAACCAUAAACGAUGCCAGCUAGCGAUCCGCAGACGUUAUUUUCUUAGGCUCUGCGGGAAGCUUCCGGGAAACCAAAGCUUUUGGGUUCCGGGGGAAGUAUGGUUGCAAAGCUGAAACUUAAAGGAAUUGACGGAAGGGCACCACCAGGAGUGGAGCCUGCGGCUUAAUUUGACUCACACGGGAAAUCUCCCAGGCCCGGAACUGGAAGGAUUGACAGAUUGAGAGCUCUUUCUCGAUUCGGUGGGUGGUGGUGCAUGGCCGUUCUUAGUUGGUGGAGUGAUUGUCUGGUUAAUCCGAUAAGAACGAGACUCU